rnacentral:tRNA from 22 species
GGAGGCAUAGCUCAGCUGGUAGAGCGUCCGCCUCACACGCGGAAGGUCACAGAUUCGAGUUCUGUUGUCUCCACCA